rnacentral:rRNA from 1 species
AUUGAACGCUGGCGGCAGGCCUAAAACAUGCAAGUCGAACGAGUAGCGGACGGGUGAGUAAUGUCUGGGAAAUUGCCCGAUGGAGGGGGAUAACUAAUGUCAACGGUAGCUAAUCCCGCGUAGCCUCGGAUGUGCCCAGAUGGGAUUAGCUAGUGGGUGGGGUAAAGGCUCACCUAGGCCACGAAACCUAGCUGGUCUGAGAGGAUGACCGGCAACACUGGAACUGAGACACGGUCCAGACCCCUACGGGAGGCAGCAGUGGGGAAUAUUGCACAAUGGGCGCAAGCCUGAUGCAGCCAUGCCGCGUGUAUGAAGAAGGCCUUCGGGUUGUAAAGUACUUUCAGCUGGGAGGCGUUACCCGCAGAAGAAGCACCGGCUAACUCCGUGCCAGCAGCCGCGGUAAUUC